rnacentral:rRNA from 1 species
UACGUAGGGUCAGAGCGUUGUCCGGAUUUACUGGGCGUAAAGAGCGCGCAGGCGGUCGUUCAAGUCGAGUGUGAAAGCCCCCGGCUCAACUGGGGAGGGUCACUCGAUACUGAUCGACUCGAAGGCAGGAGAGGGAAGUGGAAUUCCCGGUGUAGUGGUGAAAUGCGUAGAUAUCGGGAGGAACACCAGUGGCGAAGGCGACUUCCUGGCCUGUUCUUGACGCUGAGGCGCGAAAGCUAGGGGAGCAAACGGGG